rnacentral:rRNA from 1 species
CCCUUAGAUGUUCUGGGCCGCACGCGCGCUACACUGACGAAUGCAACGAGCUUAUAACCUUGGCCGAAAGGUCUGGGUAAUCUCCAAAUUUCGUCGUGAUGGGGAUAGAUUAUUGCAAUUAUUAAUCUUCAACGAGGAAUGCCUAGUAAGCGCAAGUCAUCAGCUUGCGUUGAUUACGUCCCUGCCCUUUGUACACACCGCCCGUCGCUCCUACCGAUUGAAUGGUCCGGUGAAGCGUUCGGACCGUGGCCUUUGGACGGUUCGCCGUCUGUUGGCUGCGGGAAGUUGAUUAAACCUUACUAUUUAGAGGAAGGUGAAGUCGUAACA